AUCGUGCACUAGCGGUCUCAAAAGAUUCAAAGUCCAAGAUGGCAACCCUCAAGGACCAGCUGAUUGCGAAUCUUCUUAAGGAAGAACAGGUCCCCCAGAACAAGAUUACAGUUUUUGGUGCUGUUGGCAUGGCUUGUGCCAUCAGUAUCUUAACAAAGGAGUUGGCGGAUGAGCUUGCCCUUGUUGACGUCAUGGAAGACAAACUAAAGGGCGAAAUGAUGGAUCUCCCGCAUAGCAGCCUCUUCCUUAGAAAAUCAAAAAUUGUCUCCAGCAAAGACUAUUGUGUAACUGCAAACUCCAAGCUGGUCAUCAUCAUAGCCUGGGCCCAUCAGCAAGAAGGAGAGAGCCGACUCAAUCUGGUCCAGCGAAAUGUGAGCAUCUUCAAGUUCGUCAUUCCGAACAUUGUGAAGUACAGUCCACACUGCAAGCUGCUUAUUGUCUCAAAUCCAGUGGAUAUCUUGACCUACGUGGCUUGGAAAAUCAGUGGCUUUCCCAAAAGCCGAGUUAUUGGAAGUGGUUGCAAUCUGGAUUCCGCUCGGUUCUGUUACCUGAUGGGAGAAAGGCUGGGGGUUCACCCGCUGAGCUGUCACGGCUGGGUCCUGGGAGAACAUGGCGACUCCAGUGUGCCUGUGUGGAGUGGUGUGAACAUUGCCGGCGUCUCCCUGAAGUCUCUGAACCCAGAACUGGGCACUGAUGCAGACAAGGAGCAGUGGAAGGAGGUUCACAAGCAGGUGGUGGACAGUGCCUAUGAGGUGAUCAAGCUGAAAGGUUACACAUCCUGGGCCAUUGGCCUCUCUGUGGCAGACUUGGCCGAGAGCAUAAUGAAGAACCUGAGGCAGGUGCAUCCCAUUUCCACCAUGAUUAAGGGUCUCUAUGGAAUCAAUAAGGAUGUCUUCCUCAGUGUCCCAUGUAUCCUGGGACAAAAUGGAAUCUCGGAUGUUGUGAAGGUGACACUGACUCCUGAGGAAGAAGCCCGCCUGAAGAAGAGUGCAGAUACCCUCUGGGGAAUCCAGAAGGAGCUGCAGUUCUAAAGUCUUCCCACUGUCCUAGCACUUCACUGUCCAGGCUGCAGCAAGGUUUCUCUCUAG